GACAGAGGUCCCAAGCGUUAGGCGGAAUCACUGGGCUUAAAGCGUGUGUAGGCGGAGUUCUAAGUACCUUGUGAAAUCCCACGGCUCAACCGUGGAACUGCUUGGUAUACUGGUUCUCUUGGGCCAUCUAGGGGCUAGCGGAACAAACGGUGGAGCGGUGAAAUGCGUAGAUAUCGUUUGGAACGCCAAUGGUGAAAACAGCUAGCUGGGGAUGUGCCGACGCUGAGACACGAAAGCCAGGGGAGCGAACGGG
rnacentral:rRNA from 1 species